UAGUCCACGCCGUAAACGAUGAUUACUAAGUGUUCGAGCUUCGGCUUGAGUGCUCAAGCGAAAGCGAUAAGUAAUCCACCUGGGGAGUACGUCGGCAACGAUGAAACUCAAAGGAAUUGACGGGGGCCCGCACAAGCGGUGGAGCAUGUGGUUUAAUUCGAUGAUACGCGAGGAACCUUACCUGGGCUACAAUGCCUCUGCCAGCCGGAGUUCCUUCGGGACGCGAAACAAGGUGCUGCAUGGUUGUCGUCAGCUCGUGCCGUGAGGUGUUGGGUUAAGUCCCGCGACGAGCGCAACCCCUAUUCUUAGUUACCAGCACGUUAAGGUGGGGACUCUAAGAAAACUGCCGGCGCAAGCCGCGAGGAAGGUGGGGACGACGUCAAGUCAUCACGGCCCUUACGUCCUGGGCCACACACGUGCUACAAUGGCGAGUACAGAGGGCAGCUACCAUGUGAAUGGAUGCCAAUCUCAAAAACUCGUCUCAGUUCGGAUCGAAGUCUGCAACUCGACUUCG
rnacentral:rRNA from 1 species